rnacentral:rRNA from 1 species
UACGAACUGUGCGAACGUUAUUCGGAAUCACUGGGCUUAAAGGGUGCGUAGGCGGUUUUCUAAGUCAGGUGUGAAAUCUUCCGGCUCAACCGGAAAACUGCGCCUGAGACUGGAUAACUUGAGUGAGGUAGGGGUGUGUGGAACUUCCGGUGGAGCGGUGAAAUGUGUAGAGAUCGGAAGGAACGCCAGCAGCGAAAGCGGCACACUGGGCCUUGUCUGACGCUGAGGCACGAAAGCUAGGGUAGUGAACGGGAUUAGAUACCCCGGUAAUCCUAGCCGUAAACACUGAACACUGGAGGACGGGGGUUUCGGCCUUCGUUCUCGUAGCGAAAGCGUUAAGUGUUCCGCCUGGGGAGUAUGGUCGCAAGGCUG